rnacentral:Y_RNA from 1 species
GGCUGGUCCGAUGGUAGUGGGUUAUCAGAACUUAUUAACAUUAGUGUCACUAAAGUUGGUAUUUAAUCCCCCACUGCUAAAUUUGACUGCUUAAA